AUUCAGCUGACGAGUUUCAAGUAGGAUGAAACACGCGUCUUGAAU
rfam:Schistosoma mattheei strain Denwood, Zambia genome assembly, scaffold: SMTD_scaffold0008011